GUUUAUUUUACAGACUCCAAAAAACAACAGCUUAAUCAUGCAGCUCUUAAAUGAUGACUGCUCAAACUUGGAUAUUUCAGCUCACUUCAAACUUGAGAAAACACCUUGCGUCUGCUCUGGUGGAAGAGUGCCCCCCAACACAAAGGUCCCUGGUUCAAUUUCACCUUGGAAAGCUUUUAACACCUGACUUGGGGUCUUUUCUCCUUUGCCCAAGGUGCUUACACAAGCUCUGGAGUCCCACAAUCACUACACUGCUCCUCAGGGAUGGUUUAUGAAGACGUGAACACACAUAUAAAUUGAUGUACAUUUUAAGUAUUACAAAUACAGUUCAUUAACCUUUUGCAUUUUGUUUUAUUGUAACAUACAGUAUAAUUUUCAUGAAGUUGCAUAAUAAA